AACACAUGCAAGUCGAGCGGAUGAAGGGAGCUUGCUCCUGGAUUCAGCGGCGGACGGGUGAGUAAUGCCUAGGAAUCUGCCUGGUAGUGGGGGAUAACGUUCCGAAAGGAACGCUAAUACCGCGUACGUCCUACGGGAGAAAGCAGGGGACCUUCGGGCCUUGCGCUAUCAGAUGAGCCUAGGUCGGAUUAGCUAGUUGGUGAGGUAAUGGCUCACCAAGGCGACGAUCCGUAACUGGUCUGAGAGGAUGAUCAGUCACACUGGAACUGAGACACGGUCCAGACUCCUACGGGAGGCAGCAGUGGGGAAUAUUGGACAAUGGGCGAAAGCCUGAUCCAGCCAUGCCGCGUGUGUGAAGAAGUCUUCGGAUUGUAAAGCACUUUAAGUUGGGAGGAAGGGCUGUAGGCUAAUAUCCUGCGGUUUUGACGUUACCAACAGAAUAAGCACCGGCUAACUUCGUGCCAGCAGCCGCGGUAAUACGAAGGGUGCAAGCGUUAAUCGGAAUUACUGGGCGUAAAGCGCGCGUAGGUGGUUCGUUAAGUUGGAUGUGAAAGCCCCGGGCUCAACCUGGGAACUGCAUCCAAAACUGGCGAGCUAGAGUACGGUAGAGGG
rnacentral:rRNA from 1 species